rnacentral:misc_RNA from 1 species
GCCAAACCCUGACAUUAAGACUCUGUUCACAGAUCAUACAUGCACUCCUCCAAAUGGGGCUGUUGCACCUACACCCGUUAAUCUUCCUCCUGCAGCGAUUGCAAAACCUGCCGCUUUUACAGCACUUGGUGCACAUGGGCCCUUUCCACCUGCAGCAGCAGCUGCUGCAAAUGCUAAUGCUUUAGCAGGUUGGAUGGCAAACGCCGCUGCUUCUUCAUCUGUCCAAGCUGCUGUUGUGACAGCAUCAUCCCUGCCUGUUCCACCAAAUCAAGUUUCAAUUUUGAAGCGCCCCCUCACACCUCCAGCUACAUUAGGCAUGCUUGACUAUCAGAGUGCUGAUCAUGAGCAAUUAAUGAAACGUUUACGACCUGCACAGUCUGUUGAGGAGGUUACGUAUCCUACAGUUCGUCAGCAAGCUUCUUGGUCCCUUGAUGACUUACCAAGGACCGUAGCUUUUACUUUACCUCAAGGAUCCUCAGUCACUAGCAUGGACUUUCAUCCUUCUCAUCAUACAUAUCUGCUCGUUGGAUCCACCAAUGGUGAAAUAACGCUCUGGGAAGUAGCAACACGAGAGAAGUUGGUUGCGAAGGCAUUUAAAAUAUGGGAUGUUCAAGCGUGUACUCUGACAUUUCAGGCUUCUGCUUCCAAAGAUGCACCAUUUUCUGUAAGCCGUGUUGCCUGGAGUCCAGAUGGGACCUUCGUUGGAGUUGCAUUCUCUAAGCAUUUGGUCCAUCUGUAUGCCACUGUUGGAACAAAUGAUUUGCGCCAGCAUUUGGAGAUGGAUGCCCAUGCUGGAAGUGUUAACGACUUAGCAUUUGCUUAUCCAAACAAGCAGUUAUGUAUAGUAACAUGUGGAGAUGAUAAGUUGAUAAAGGUGUGGGAUAUAACAGGAAGAAAGCUGUUUAAUUUUGAAGGACAUGAAGCUCCUGUAUAUUCCAUAUGCCCUCAUCAGAAGGAGAGCAUUCAGUUCAUUUUUUCUACUGCUAUAGAUGGAAAAAUAAAAGCUUGGCUGUAUGACAAUAUGGGAUCUCGAGUUGACUAUGAUGCUCCUGGUCAUUGGUGUACCACCAUGCUUUAUAGUGCUGAUGGAACUAGAUUGUUCUCUUGUGGAACCGGUAAAGAAGGUGAUUCUUUUCUUGUGGAAUGGAAUGAAAGUGAAGGAGCCAUAAAGAGGACUUAUUCUGGGUUUAGAAAGAAAUCAGCUGGUGUUGUGCAGUUUGACACAACUCAAAAUCACUUCUUGGCUGUGGGUGAAGAUAGCCAGAUAAAAUUUUGGGACAUGGACAAUAUAAAUAUUCUUACAACUAUAGAUGCUGAUGGUGGUCUCCCGAGUCUUCCACGCUUGAGAUUCAAUAAGGAGGGGAAUCUUCUUGCUGUUACUACUGCUGACAAUGGGAUUAAGAUACUGGGAAACCCUGCUGGUAUGAGAUCCUUGAGAACAGUUGAGGCCCCACCUUUUGAAGCACUAAGAUCACCCAUUGAAGCAGCUGCUAUAAAGGGUUCUGGCUCUUCUGUUCCAAAUGCUACUCCUGUCAAUUGUAAAGUUGAAAGGAGCUCUCCUAUCAGGCCGUCUCCUAUCCUUAAUGGAGUUGAUUCUGUGCCCAGAAGCAUGGAGAAACCAAGAAUAUUGGAGGAAGUUUCAGAUAAGGCCAAACCCUGGCAGUUAACGGAAAUUUUAGACCAAGCUCAAUGCAGGCUGGUUACCAUGCCUGAGAGUUCAGAUUCGAAUAAUAAGGUUGCAAGGCUUCUUUAUACAAAUUCUGGUGUUGGUAUUCUGGCACUUGGUUCGAAUGGUACUCAAAAGUUGUGGAAGUGGACACGCAAUGAACAAAAUCCAAGUGGCAAGGCCACUGCUAAUGUUGUUCCACAAUAUUGGCAACCGAACAGUGGUCUUCUUAUGACCAACGAUAUUGUAGGUAUCAAUUUGGAAGAGGCUGUUCCUUGUAUAGCUCUCUCAAAGAAUGACUCUUAUGUAAUGUCAGCUGCUGGUGGGAAAGUGUCACUGUUCAAUAUGAUGACGUUUAAGGUAAUGACAACAUUUAUGCCACCUCCGCCGGCUUCAACUUUCUUAGCAUUCCAUCCUCAAGAUAACAAUAUUAUU